ensembl:ncRNA T10H10.5 ncRNA
UGAGAGAGAAACACUGUGAUAUUUGACCACGGUUAAUCCGAAAUGCGCGGACUAUCUCUCCGUCAUCUUCCGCACUGUUUCUAACAGCCGCUCCUCCGGCCGCAAUUGUCUUCGGUCAAAUUAGCUAGCCAAUACUAU